UACAGAGGUGGCAAGCGUUGUUCGGAAUUACUGGGCGUAAAGGGCGCGUAGGCGGCCCGUCAAGUCCCGUGUGAAAGCCCCCGGCUCAACCGGGGAACGGCGCGGGAAACUAGCAGGCUUGAGUUCGGGAGAGGGAAGCGGAAUUCCGGGUGUAGCGGUGAAAUGCGCAGAUAUCCGGAGGAACACCGGUGGCGAAGGCGGCUUCCUGGACCGACACUGACGCUGAGGCGCGAAAGCUAGGGGAGCAAACAGG
rnacentral:rRNA from 1 species